UACAGAGGGGGCAAGCGUUGUUCGGAAUCACUGGGCGUAAAGGGAGCGUAGGCGGGUUCUUAAGUAAGGUGUUUAAUCCCGGGGCCCAACCCCGGACCGGCACUUUAAACUGGGAAUCUUGAAUAGUGGAGAGGUCGGUGGAAUUGGGGGUGUAGCGGUGGAAUGCGUAGAGAUCCCCAAGAACACCAGUUGCGAAGGCGGCCGACUGGACACAUAUUGACGCUGAGGCUCGAAAGCAUGGGGAGCAAACAGG
rnacentral:rRNA from 1 species